GACGAACGCCGGCGGCGUGCCUAAUACAUGCAAGUAGAACGCUGAAGAGAGGAGCUUGCUCUUCUUGGAUGAGUUGCGAACGGGUGAGUAACGCGUAGGUAACCUGCCUGGUAGCGGGGGAUAACUAUUGGAAACGAUAGCUAAUACCGCAUAAAAUGGAUUAUCGCAUGAUGAUUCAUUGAAAGGUGCAAAUGCAUCACUACCAGAUGGACCUGCGUUGUAUUAGCUAGUUGGUGGGGUAACGGCUCACCAAGGCAACGAUACAUAGCCGACCUGAGAGGGUGAUCGGCCACACUGGGACUGAGACACGGCCCAGACUCCUACGGGAGGCAGCAGUAGGGAAUCUUCGGCAAUGGACGGAAGUCUGACCGAGCAACGCCGCGUGAGUGAAGAAGGUUUUCGGAUCGUAAAGCUCUGUUGUAAGAGAAGAAACGAAGUGUGAGAAGUGGAAAGUUCAC
rnacentral:rRNA from 1 species